AAGGAUUUUGCUAUUUCACAAAAAGUGUGUUGGCAAAAUUUUAUUGAAUAAAAAAAUAGCCUUUUUUGAAACUGUCCAAUAAAAUGUACACAAAGCCCCGAAUUCCCUACUUCCUAUUGCAGAUGGCGUCACUGUGUAACCUCCUCCGUUCCCGUUUUCCGAUUCCCAAAACCCCUCUGUCGACUUCUCUCGGACUGGAACUCUUCUCCACAUUCUCGGACUUCGAACAGAUGGAAACUCAAGAUCAAGAAACCCAAUUCCCAAUCACUAUUACAAAGCCCACACUCCCACCAAUCGAACCCUCACCGGAGGCAGACUCACUCUCCCAAAUCUUAAUCCACCACCACA
rnacentral:lncRNA from 1 species